UUUACAUUAUAACAUAUUGCUGGUCAUAAACCUAUAGAUACAAAACAGAAAACCAAAAGAAGAAUGGAAGUGAAAUUUAAACAUAUGAGUCAACCGGCCACACGAGAAGUAUCCGUAUUUAUAGGCGCGUUCUUCGAACAAACCUGUUUUAGUGGUUUGUCGGGCAUUGCUAUUUUAUUCGAUUAUUAACAGUAUCAAUUAUCAUCGUGCUAAUGCUUAAAGUGAUAUUAUGGGCAUUUUGCACUGUUGAAUUGAGCUGAAAAGAAUUAACAGGUCAAAAUAGUUAAUAAAAUGUGGUUACUGACCAAUUAUCUGCAACUCAUCUUGCUACCAGUUGUUUAUAAAAAUAUAUUUUAUAUUCGAUAUCUUACGUGACCCACCCAGUCCUGUAAGCCGAAAUGAUCCGUAAAACAAAAUUGUGUCUUUGUGUCGUAUGAACGAAUCUGCACUAAAACUAAAUUUAGCAUCACAUCGUACAUGCAUGAUUAGUUGUCAAACGAAAGCACGGUUGAUAUUCAAAUGCAUUAUUUUCUCUUUCCGGGAUAUUGUUUUAGUAUGUUGAUGCUGCAUUAACAAAUAUAAGUGUAUAUGAAGUGAAAACACCAAAAAUAAAGAACGGUUGAGAUAGAAACAGAUGCCCAUAAUAUCACUUUAAGUUUGACAAUAAACGUUUCUAAAUACAUGUAAUUAAGUUGAAAACAAAAGUUUAACUAUUGUGUUUUUUUUAUUUAACAAUUUUGCAUCUUCAACGCAUGAGUUAAUUUCUUCACAAUCGAAAUAUAUCGUAUGUUAAUAUUUGAUUAACUCUCAGUAUUAUUUCGACACAUUCAAAUCACACUUUUAUAGCCGCGUCAUGCGAAAAUUGGUCCUAUGGCGUUGCAGCCAGCGUAGCUCAAGCCCAUGCCUGCGUAUUUGCGCAGUCUGCUCAUCGGCGAAGCUGUCCGUUAUAAAAUUAUUCAAGGUUUAAUGGUAUAAUUAUGCAUCUUCUGACCAGACUGCAAGAUGCGCAGGUUUGGUGGGCUAUAGCUAUGAUGGGCGCAUAUGGCUAAUGACCCAUUUUGGCAUUACGCGGGUCUUUAAAAAUCUCAUCGCGCAUUGUAAAUGGCACAUUUUAGCUCAAUGCUUUUCGAUUUGAAACUGAAUUCAAAAUAGCGAAUAUCGCAAACUGGUAAAUAAGGGUAGCAUUUUAUGGGCGUUCAGGAACAAUUCACAGACUUGCUGACCGAGUACGGCAAACAUGUGUGGUUAGAUAAUAAAACGAUUUCCCUCUUAUCGUGACCCUGUACUAUUUCAGUAGUGUUUCUUUUCUCACUUUGGAAGCAAAACUGUGUAUAUCGAUAGUCAAUUAUGUUUUCGUCUGACGAUAUAGUGACCGAUUACAGACUCCGAAAUUCUUCGAGAUGGAUUUUAACGCGCAAUUUUAACUUGACCACAAUUUGUGUCUAUGUGUCGUUUGAACAUUCAGAGAGUAGUCCGGAAAUCCUUACACUGAACUGUGUUACAUCUUUUACGCUGUGCACAGACACAGUGAUGUAGCCAAAGUUCAGAGGAUUUUUCUCGAAUCAGCCUACGAAAUAUUCGAAUGAAUUCAUUCGUGUCUGCUGGCGUUAUGUAAAGGUCAUUUAAGGUCUUAUUGUACAUUUUGAAUUUGUAUAUGGUUAUAAUUUUGAAUGGGUUGUGUUUAUUUUCAAACUUGCGAUAAAAAAGCUAUAACCCGAUUUUGAACAAGGGCUGUUUGUAAAACAUGCAUGCCCCCCAUAUGGGCUGUCAAUUGUAGUGGUAGCCAUUGUGUGAAUACGUUUUUUGGCACUGUGACCUUGACCUUUGACGGAGUGACCUGAAAAUCAAAAGGGGUCAUCUGAGAGUCAUGACAAUUGUACCUUUGAAGUUUCAUGAUCCUAGGCGUAAGCGUUAUUGAGUUAUCAUCCGCAAACCAUCUGGUGGACGGACAUACGGACAAACAUACGGACGGACGGACCGACAUGAGCAAAAAAAUAUACCCCCCUAUACAUGGAUAGCUGACAUAUUUCAUUACGAAUUGUUAACUUAAGUUGCUUACCCUGUUUACCGAUAAUUAAAAUAUACAUAUGAAAAGUAACUUAUCUAUGUUUUGCUGGUGUUCAUAAUACUGUUCUUUCUUACGUUUUCAUGUAUCCAACGUACACAGAAGAUUAUGAUGCGUUAAUAUGAGUGAUCGGCAAUUAUAUCUUGAUCGCCUCUGUUAAAGGCUCCUACGUUUGUUUUGAUGAUUAUUGUGUUGUUCAUGUAUUUUUUAUGUAUGUUUUGUUUACUUGUGAUCGGCAAUUAUUUCUUGAUUGCCUCUUUAAGCUCAUUUAAGAAAUUAUUGGAUUAUUAUUAUUUUGUAAUGCAUUUUUCGAUUAUAAUUAUUUAUCACUCAUAAUGGGCUUCUCCGCUUGUUUUCAUGAUUAUUGUGUUGUCCAUGUACGUUUUAUGUAUGUUUAGUUUACUUGUGAGUGUGGGCAUAUGUGUAUGGGAGUGGGUGUAUUCGUGUGUGCGUGUGUGAGUGUGGGUGUAUGCGUAUGGGCGUGCGUGUGUAUUUUUUGCAUUUUGCUUUGCCUACGUUGUUGUUAAUUUUAUUGUGAAUUUAUUUAUUUUUUUAUUAUUAAAUAUAUAACAUACAAUGUAUACAUGGAUAAUAUAAAAAACAUGGCGAUUAACAUUCGGCAGCAAAGCUGUUCAAACAUGUAAUACAAAAUAUGCUUAUAUAUACAUGUUGUUGACCUUGUGAUUUCCUUUAAUAUUUAAAAAUUAUCAAUGUGUAUUUGUUUUUUUUGCUUGUUUGUGAUAGGUGUUUUAAAAAAAUAAAAAAAUAAAAAUAAGUUUAGUCAAUUGUUAAAGGUGGGUAGAAAACUACUUGACUGGGUUAUGAAAGUUUAUAUGUUUCCAUUUUUGUUCAAAAAUAUGAAGUUUAUCGUUGUUGAGGGCUAUUUCUUUUUCAAUUUUGAUCUUUAGUUUUAAAUAGUUUAUAAAACAGUUGAAAGUAGGUAUUUGUUUUUUGUAUUAGAAGCUAAAUAUAAAAUAUUUUAUUAAUAUGAUAAUGUGGUUCAGAGUGUUAUUAAUUUCUGGUAUUUUAAAAGUAUUCACACCGAAACUUAUAUUUGAGAGAGACAGUUUUAAUUUUAAUUGUUGUUUCUCUAGAAAUGUUGUUAACUGGUUCCAUAGAAUUUGAAUAUGUUUGCACUCCCAGAAAAGGUGUUCUAUUGUUUCAGUGUAUUCGCUGCACAUAUCACAUAAAUUUGUGUUGGAUAGGUUGCACUUAAAAAGGUAUUUAUUUGUAGCUAUGAUUCUAUGGACAAAUUUAUAUUGAAAAUUUCUCAGUGUGCUAUCUAUAGUUGUUUUAUAUGGCAUGAUAAAUAUUUGUUUCUAAUUAAAUUCUUGUUCUCGAA